rnacentral:rRNA from 1 species
GACGAACGCUGGCGGCGUGCUUAACACAUGCAAGUCGAACGAUGAACCCGGAGCUUGCUCCGGUGGAUUAGUGGCGAACGGGUGAGUAACACGUGAGUAACCUGCCCUUGACUCUGGAAUAACUGCGGGAAACUGUAGCUAAUACCGGAUACGACCCUCGGCGGCAUCGCCAGGGGGUGGAAAGAAUUUCGGUCAAGGAUGGACUCGCGGCCUAUCAGCUAGUUGGUGAGGUAAAGGCUCACCAAGGCGACGACGGGUAGCCGGCCUGAGAGGGUGACCGGCCACACUGGGAUUGAGACACGGCCCAGACUCCUACGGGAGGCAGCAGUGGGGAAUAUUGCACAAUGGGCGCAAGCCUAAUGCAGCAACGCCGCGUGAGGGAUGACGGCCUUCGGGUUGUAAACCUCUUUUAGCAGGGAAGAAGCGAAAGUGACGGUACCUGCAGAAAAAGCACCGGCUAACUACGUGCCAGCCGCCGCCGUAA